GACGAACCGUCCGAACGUUAUUCGGAAUUAUUGGGCUUAAAGGGUGCGUAGGCGGCGCUGUAAGUCAGGUGUGAAAUCCCACGGCUCAACCGUGGAAUGGCGCCCGAUACUGCAGUGCUCGAGGGAGACAGAGGUAAGCGGAACUGAUGGUGGAGCGGUGAAAUGCGUUGAUAUCAUCAGGAACACCAGUGGCGAAAGCGGCUUACUGGGUCUCUUCUGACGCUGAGGCACGAAAGCUAGGGUAGCGAACGGG
rnacentral:rRNA from 1 species